rnacentral:rRNA from 1 species
CGCCUGUUUAACAAAAACAUCUCUUCCUGCAUAACCAAUGAUGACCUGCCAACCUGAUUUUUUUUGAAGGGCCGCGGUAUUUUGACCGUGCAAAGGUAGCAUAAUCAUUAGUCUUUUAAGUGUGGGCUGGAAUGAAUGGUUUGACCAGACGUUAGCUGUCUCUUUUUAAUUUAUUGAAUUUGGGUUUUAGGUAAAAAUACCUAAAUGUAUUUAUGGGACGAGAAGACCCUAUAGAGUUUUAUAUUAUUGGGAAUGUGAUUAAUGUUUUGUUUGGUUGUUUUAUUUUUUGUUUUAUUUUGUUGGGGCGAUUAGGAGAUUUAACUAACUCUUCUUUUUUUUUUCUAUUUAUUUGUAGUUUUUUGAUCCUUUUAUUAUUGAUUAUAAGAUUAAAUUACCUUAGGGAUAACAGCGUAA